rnacentral:rRNA from 1 species
CCCUUAGAUGUUCUGGGCCGCACGCGUGCUACACUGAGUGGAUCAGCGGGUCAGGUUGCGCGAAAGUGUUUCCUAAUCUUGAAAUCCGCUCGUGAUGGGGAUUGACGGUUGCAAUUUUCCGUCAUGAACGAGGAAUACCUUGUAAGCGCGGGUCAUCAUCCCGCGCUGAAUACGUCCCUGCCCUUUGUACACACCGCCCGUCGCUCCUACCGAUUGAGUGGUCCGGUGAGGCUUUGGGAUCUGAGCCAAGAGAGCGUUUCGCUCGUUUUGCCCGGAAAACUCAGUCGAACCUUAUCAUUUAGAGGAAGGAGAAGUCGUAACA